GGAGGUAAGAAUGCUGCACUGAAGAGCCAAGAAGAAUCUGAACAGACAGGACUUGCUGGGUUUAGAUCAUUCCCUUUUUGUCCAAUCACAUUUCAACAUGGUUGUCCAUGCUUCAGUCAUGCCUGUCCAAGAAGUCUUCAUAAAAGGCCCAAGAGGACAGGGUUCAGGGAGUUUUGGAGACCUGAACACAUGGAGGCUGACAGGAAGGUUGCUGGCAGAGGUGGUUGGGGCUAUGUGCCUGGAGUGAAGAUUCUGCCCAUUGGUCAAGAGACCUCCCUCUCAGAUGCUGGCUCUGCCCCUGCCUUUGGGGGUCGACCCUUGUACU
rnacentral:lncRNA from 10 species